GAUGAACGCUGGCGGCGUGCCUAAUACAUGCAAGUCGAGCGAACAGACGAGGAGCUUGCUCCUCUGAUGUUAGCGGCGGACGGGUGAGUAACACGUGGAUAACCUACCUAUAAGACUGGGAUAACUUCGGGAAACCGGAGCUAAUACCGGAUAAUAUAUUGAACCGCAUGGUUCAAUAGUGAAAGACGGUUUUGCUGUCACGUAUAGAUGGAUCCGCGCCGCAUUAGCUAGUUGGUAAGGUAACGGCUUACCAAGGCAACGAUGCGUAGCCGACCUGAGGGGGUGAUCGGCCACACUGGAACUGAGACACGCUCCAGACUCCUAAGGGAGGCAGCAGUAGGGAAUCUUCCGCAAUGGGCGAAAGCCUGACGGAGCAACGCCGCGUGAGUGAUGAAGGUCUUCGGAUCGUAAAACUCUGUUAUUCGGGAAGAACAAAUGUGUAAGUAACUAUGCACCUCUUGACGGUACCUAAUCAGAAAGCCACGGCUAACUACGUG
rnacentral:rRNA from 1 species